rnacentral:misc_RNA from 1 species
AACCAUUCUCACCUGCGGCUAGACCUGCGGAGGGAUCAUUACAAGUGACCCCGGUCUAACCACCGGGAUGUUCAUAACCCUUUGUUGUCCGACUCUGUUGCCUCCGGGGCGACCCUGCCUUCGGGCGGGGGCUCCGGGUGGGCACUUCAAACUCUUGCGUAACUUUGCAGUCUGAGUAAACUUAAUUAAUAAAUUAAAACUUUUAGCAAUGGAUCU